AACGAACGCUGGCGGCGUGCUUAACACAUGCAAGUCGAACGCGAAAGGGACUUCGGUCCUGAGUAAAGUAGGCGCACGGGUGAGUAACGCGUAGAUAACCUGUCUUCAUGUCUGGAAUAAUACGCCGAAAGGGGUACUAAUACCGGAUAUUCUUGCUUUUCAUAAGUUAUGCAAGCAAAGGUGGCCUCUGCAUAUGCUACUGCAUGAAGAGGGGUCUGCGUACCAUUAGCUAGUAGGUGGGGUAAUGGCCUACCUAGGCGACGAUGGUUAGCGGGUCUGAGAGGAUGAUCCGCCACACUGGCACUGGAACACGGGCCAGACUCCUACGGGAGGCAGCAGUGAGGAAUAUUGCGCAAUGGGGGAAACCCUGACGCAGCGACGCCGCGUGAGUGAAGGAAGGCCUUCGGGUCGUAAAGCUCUGUCAAGAGGAAAGAAGUGUACAAUGGCUAAUACCUGUUGUAUUUGACGGUACCUCUAAAGGAAGCACCGGCUAACUCCGUGCCAGCCGCUGC
rnacentral:rRNA from 1 species